UGCAAGUCGAACGCUGAAGCCUGGUGCUUGCACCGGGUGGAUGAGUGGCGAACGGGUGAGUAACACGUGAGUAACCUGCCCCCGAUUUCGGGAUAAGCCCGGGAAACUGGGUCUAAUACCGGAUAUGACCUCCAGCCGCAUGGUUGGUGGUGGAAAGUUUUUCGAUCGGGGAUGGGCUCGCGGCCUAUCAGCUUGUUGGUGGGGUAAUGGCCUACCAAGGCGACGACGGGUAGCCGGCCUGAGAGGGCGACCGGCCACACUGGGACUGAGACACGGCCCAGACUCCUACGGGAGGCAGCAGUGGGGAAUAUUGCACAAUGGGGGAAACCCUGAUGCAGCGACGCAGCGUGCGGGAUGACGGCCUUCGGGUUGUAAACCGCUUUCAGCAGGGAAGAAGCGAAAGUGACGGUACCUGCAGAAGAAGUACCGGCUAACUACGUGCCAGCAGCCGCGGUAAUACGUAGGGUACGAGCGUUGUCCGGAAUUAUUGGGCGUAAAGAGCUCGUAGGUGGUUGGUCACGUCUGCUGUGGAAACGCAACGCUUAACGUUGCGCGGGCAGUGGGUACGGGCUGACUAGAGUGCAGUAGGGGAGUCUGGAAUUCCUGGUGUAGCGGUGAAAUGCGCAGAUAUCAGGAGGAACACCGGUGGCGAAGGCGGGACUCUGGGCUGUAACUGACACUGAGGAGCGAAAGCAUGGGGAGCGAACAGGAUUAGAUACCCUGGUAGUCCAUGCCGUAAACGUUGGGCACUAGGUGUGGGGGACAUUCCACGUUCUCCGCGCCGUAGCUAACGCAUUAAGUGCCCCGCCUGGGGAGUACGGUCGCAAGGCUAAAACUCAAAGGAAUUGACGGGGGCCCGCACAAGCGGCGGAGCAUGCGGAUUAAUUCGAUGCAACGCGAAGAACCUUACCAAGGCUUGACAUACACCGGACCGGGCUGGAAACAGUCUUUCCCUUUUUGGGCUGGUGUACAGGUGGUGCAUGGUUGUCGUCAGCUCGUGUCGUGAGAUGUUGGGUUAAGUCCCGCAACGAGCGCAACCCUCGUUCUAUGUUGCC
rnacentral:rRNA from 1 species